UCCAUCUUCUUCUUCCUUCAAUCCCACUUCGGGUCUCUCUCUCCUCUCUCUAACAUUUUCUGAUCUCGAUUCCCAUUUCACCUCCCUCUAAACGUACUCCCUCACCCAGAAACUCCAGACCCUAGAGUCCUAAUCCCCAAACCCUUCUUACUCUACCUCAAUCCCACAAACCCAAAAACCGCAAGACCCAUCUCUUUUCUCUAAUCGAGCCCGAUCCGUUUUGUGUCUCGUGGCAUGCGAGCUUUUUGGAGGGUCUGAAUAUGUCUCCAUCACCAUGCCGAUGUGGGUUCUAACAAGAAGCACAUUCACAACCUCUCUCCAGUUUCUGCCAGCAGGUACGCUGGGUUUGCUCCGAAUUGACUGAAUUCUCACCGGAAAUGGGGUUUGUUGUAACACUUGAAGUUUAAUUACUUUGAGGUUCAGACUUAUCUACUCACAAUUUCGCGACGGUUUUACCUGGAGAUUCAGUGGCCGAACUUGUUGUUGCAAAUGGUGCCUUCAACUUAUUGAACUUAUACGAAACUUUAUUGGUCUGGAGGCUUGUGUUAGCCGGUGGACCUUUGCGUACCCAAUCCGUAUCGACCAAGCUCUCUUUUGUCUCAACAAGUGUGAAUUCCCUCUCAAGAUCCAGCUCAUCGUCUUCCUCGAAGAGUUCUCCGGCUCGCACUUCACAUCCGACCUAGAUUCUCUUCUUGUUCUUCAUUUUGUGUUCUUAGUUUUUUGUUUUCCUCAUUUGCUAUGUCUAAUUUAGUGUUCUGUAGCCACCAGGUAUGAAGGAAGUGGUGGUUUUUUGAGAUGAAUUUGAUUCUGUGAUGGUUUUGAAGAAAUGGUUUCUAGUGGCUGAUUUGGUUUUGUAAAACGAGUUUAAUUUUGUGAUCGGUUUCAAAAGGAGGGGAGAGUGAUUAUUGUG